GAAGUUGGAUACUUAACCGACUGAGCUACCCAGCUGCCCCAGAAAUGAGCCAUUUCUUAAAAAGAAAUUCCUUUCCCUGCUGACCUGAUCUUGUGCCUUGGUUAAAAAUUAAUUGACUUUAAAUAUGUAGUUUCUUUCUGGGCUCUCUGUACUGCUCCAAUGAUCCAUGUUUAUCCUUCUAAUUUCACUCUGUCUUUGUUAGUGUAGCGUUACAAUAAAUCUUGCAAUUAGGUAGUGUAAGUCCUCCAGUUUUCUUAUUUUCCAACAUUUAAAACUAAAUUUAGGUAGUUUGUUUUUAUUUCAUUUUCCAAAUUUUUGUCCUUAGUAUAUACAUAUUCAACUAAUUUUUGUGCACUGUCCUUAUAUCCUGUGACCUUGGUAUUUUGAUCUAGCUGAGGUUUUAUAAGUGCACCAUGGUCUUUGUAAAAAGAUCAUUUUACAUCUUCCCUUCCAAUCUUUAUGUCUUAUAUUUCUUUUUCUUGCUGAAUUGCACUGAGUAGGGCUUUUGGUAUUUAAGAAUGGAAGUGCUUAUCUCUGUAUUUAUCCUGCUUGGGUUUGCUAAGCAAACUUGGAUAUGUAAGUCGAUAUCCUUCAUCAAUGUUGGAAAAUUCUCAGUCAUUAUUUCUUCACAUAUUUCUUCUGACCCAGUCUCACUGUAUCCUUCUAGGACCCAAGUUCCACUUGUGGUAGUCCAUUUGCUAUUGUCCUACAGAUCUAGGAUGUGCUGUUUCAUUUUUUUCACACUGCUUCCUUCUCUGUGUUUCAGUGUAUUGUUCAUUUUCACAAUCCUUGAUCCUUUCCUUUACUGUGUCUAGAAUCUGUUAAAGCCCUAAAAUGAAUUCUCUAUUCCCGAUUUCUGAUACCAUGGUUUUCAUUUCCAUUGGAUAGAUAGAUUAAUAGAUAGUUAUAGAUAGAUAGCAUGUAUUUCCCAUCUGUUCAAACCAGUUCCCCUUUUCCAGUAGAUCUCCUAAAAUCUUUAUUGUAGUUAUUGAAAAGAUCCUGUCCCGUAAUUCCAACAUCCAGGCCAUUUUCAGACCUGCUUCCGUUGACUAUUUCCUCUCUUGGCUAUACACUAAACCACAUUUUUCUUGAUUUUCUAGCAUCUCAUAUUUUUAAUUAUUUAGUUGUAUGUUCUAUAUUGUAUGUGAAACUACAGUAGAGACUGAAGUAGAUAAUAUUCAGUGUUCAGUAAAGUUCAAAUCUCUUUUUUGUCAGGCUGCUAGAGUGGAGACUGGGUGAAUUUUAUCUGUAUUUGAAUUGAGUCUGGGCUUCUUUUGCCAAGAUACUGCUAGAUUCCAUGCAAUAUAUGAUUUCAUAUAUUAAGAAGGCUAGAUCAGGAUUUUAUCACCAUCAGGGCUCGGGAUGUGGGGACAAGCAAGGAUCUGAGAACCUCCUUAUACUUUACAGUAAGUCUCCAGCUUUCUAAAUUGUGGAAGAUCUCUUUCUGAUUUACAGCCUAAUUGUGAGGUGAGGUGUUUGGGGGUCUCUUUGCUCUUUAGUCCCAUGCUGGCUCUCUGCACAUUGGGAGAUAUCUCUUUACCAUUCUUCUCUGCCCUUAGACUUCAAAGUGUCAUUGUAGUGCACUUGGUAAAGGCCAAGAAUACCUCACAGGGAUUUCUGUCUGUUCUCUGACUCUAACCCUAGCUUUUCAUGGGCCAUUGACUCGCAUUUGGAGAAUGUGCCUCACAUGCCUCAGGGACUGGGGGUUUCUCUCAGUUCUCCUCCUAACCCCAUCCUUUGACUGAAUAACCACAUGUACUUGGUGAAGGCCUGUGGGAGAGUUUGUAGACGGGUACAGAUUCUGUGGCUAGAACUGACAAAAGACAGGAUCUUUGGGAUUCUAACCUAUCAUUCUGGCCUCCAUGUGGCCAUUAAAGUUCACUAAAAUUCAGACUGGUUUCUUCUCACCCUCACCUGCAGCUCCACUAGACAUGAACAUAACUAUGGGUGUCCUCUUUGAAAGGGCUGGUUGCUUUCUGGAAUCAGUUUAUUUCUAUUUCUUUGCUCACUAAGUUUUUUUAACGACUAGUAUUGGAAGAGCAGCCUAUUGCAGCUUUCUACAUCCUAGCCAGACUUAGUUAUCUUUUCAGGCUAGAUUUUCUUCUCCCUGAAAUAAGAAGAUGCAUUCCUCUAGGAAAAUGAGCCUGUCAAACACCGAGAAUACUGUCUCAUGCAGAGUAGGACCUCAGUACAUGUGCGUUGAAGGAAAUGUGAAUAAAAUAGUAGAAGAUCUCAAAGAGUACUAAUUUAAAAAUUGUUGAAAUGGCAGCACAGUUCUUCUAAGAGAGUGAAAUGUUUCAAGUCCUUUUCCCUACUUCCUUAAAUAAACCCACACGGUAGGUUGUUUCUGGAGGAUAUUUAAUGAUGCUCCUAUGUCCCUAUUCUUAUCUUAAACUUGAUAACAUCUUUUCCUGCUUUCUUCUGGGUAAAAUCCACCAGGAUAGUUUCCAGGAAUUCAUUGUUUAAUUUCAUUCUUACUGGUAUGACAUUACUGUCAUCUCUAUAGCUAUGCCUUUUACACACACUCACGCGCGCGCGCGCGCGCGCGCACACACACACACACACACACUUUACACAACGGUAUAUAUUCAAUUCUUUUUUUCUUUAAUGGCUUAUAUUAGAGCCCUUUAACUGAAACACAUAUCUCUUAUCUGACCUUCUUAUCUCAUUCCCUCCCAUCUUGAUUUUUAUUUAUGAUCCUGGGGCUUUUAUUCAACGGAUGUAUCUGCGUGUUUCCAACGGACCAAAUAUUGUGGAUAUGCAGUUCCUGCAAUUACGUAAAGCUGGCUUUUACUCAGAAGCACGCAGUGCAUACCAGAACCAGAACCUGCAGCAUUUCUCAGUGUCUGACUUGUGGUGAAGUGUGAACAAAUGUCCACGCCCGGAAGAGCAGGUUCCUGUGAGAAAGGUGGGCAGAUGUCUUACUCAGGGCCACGUGGUGGGAGGAACGCUGUUCUAAAUCUCUCAUGGCAUCGUGGUGUCCGAGCUGCUGGCUGGAAGCAGUUUCCUGCCUCAGCCUGACUUGACCUGGGAGAGGACAUGCUGAGUAUACAGUUUCCCCAGGGGCGGGCAGGGUGAGCCACUUGUUAGGUUGGAUGCUCAAAUAAAAAAGCAGGCAUUACGAACGAGCCAGAUACCAAGACGGAUCGAGCCCUGCAAAGCAAGUGGAGAGGCUUGCUCAGCACCGUCCCAAGCUAUCGAGAAAGACACUCGUGGUAAAUCACAUGAAAAUCCCACGCUCCAAAGCCUCCCCUGAAAUUUAAGAAAACUUGGGACGAUGAUAUCUUUGCUAAUAUUUCUAUUACUUGAAACAUAUUCAAGAGAAGACAAGAGUUGGGAGACGUUACCCAUCGUACUUCCUGUAACAUGCCCAGCAGCCACGUGAGCAGACUAAUAAACAGAAUUCUACUUUGUA